rnacentral:rRNA from 1 species
GCUCAGGAUGAACGCUGGCGGCGUGCUUAACACAUGCAAGUCGAACGAAGCACUUUGACAUUUUCGGAUUGAUGAGUGACUGAGUGGCGGACGGGUGAGUAACGCGUGGGUAACCUGCCUCAUACAGGGGGAUAACAGUUAGAAAUGACUGCUAAUACCGCAUAAGCGCACGGAACCGCAUGGUUCAGUGUGAAAAACUCCGGUGGUAUGAGAUGGACCCGCGUCUGAUUAGCUAGUUGGUGGGGUAACGGCCUACCAAGGCGACGAUCAGUAGCCGACCUGAGAGGGUGACCGGCCACAUUGGGACUGAGACACGGCCCAAACUCCUACGGGAGGCAGCAGUGGGGAAUAUUGCACAAUGGGCGAAAGCCUGAUGCAGCGACGCCGCGUGAACGAAGAAGUAUUUCGGUAUGUAAAGUUCUAUCAGCAGGGAAGAAAAUGACGGUACCUGACUAAGAAGCACCGGCUAAAUACGUGCCAGCAGCCGCGGUAAUACGUAUGGUGCAAGCGUUAUCCGGAUUUACUGGGUGUAAAGGGCGUGUAGGCGGAGAUGCAAGUCAGGAGUGAAAUCCAUGGGCUCAACCCAUGAACUGCUCUUGAAACUGUAUCCCUUGAGUAUCGGAGAGGCAAGCGGAAUUCCUAGUGUAGCGGUGAAAUGCGUAGAUAUCAGGAGGAACACCAGUGGCGAAGGCGGCUUGCUGGACGACAACUGACGCUGAGGCGCGAAAGCGUGGGGAGCAAACAGGAUUAGAUACCCUGGUAGUCCACGCUGUAAACGAUGAAUACUAGGUGUGGGAGGACUGACCCCUUCCGUGCCGCAGUUAACACAAUAAGUAUUCCACCUGGGGAGUACGACCGCAAGGUUGAAACUCAAAGGAAUUGACGGGGGCCCGCACAAGCAGUGGAUUAUGUGGUUUAAUUCGACGCAACGCGAAGAACCUUACCAGGAUUUGACAUCCAACUAACGAAGUAGAGAUACAUUAGGUGCCCUUCGGGGAAAGUUGAGACAGGUGGUGCAUGGUUGUCGUCAGCUCGUGUCGUGAGAUGUUGGGUUAAGUCCCGCAACGAGCGCAACCCCUAUUGUUAGUUGCUACGCAAGAGCACUCUAGCGAGACUGCCGUUGACAAAACGGAGGAAGGCGGGGACGACGUCAAAUCAUCAUGCCCCUUAUGUCCUGGGCUACACACGUAAUACAAUGGCCGUCAACAAAGGGAAGCAAAGCCGCGAGGUGGAGCAAACCCCCAAAAACGGUCUCAGUUCGGAUUGCAGGCUGCAACUCGCCUGCAUGAAGCUGGAAUUACUAGUAAUCGUGGAUCAGCAUGCCGCGGUGAA